UCAGGCUCUCUUAAGAGUAUAUAGACUAUUCCUAAAAUUCUCAAAAUGGAGAUUAAGUGUCUUACUUGCACCAUAGGCAAUGUGUGAAGAGGUUGAACAAACCACCAAUCACUGUUCAUGUAACUGCUCUCUGAUGGUCCUGAUGAUUAGUUUGGACCUCCUUUAGGAGCCACAGUCAAGGAGAUCACUGGCACUAGCCCAGUCCAGUCUGGAUGCUGUUAGAAGACAGGAAGAUGUCCAGUUUGAAAAUCAUCGAGGACUGGAGAUGCUUUCACAUACAGGUGUGAAACUGCAUUCUCAUGAUGGGUCUCUCACUAAACUCAUAAUUAGGCUGGAGCUUUGAUCCUUCUGCUGGUCUUAUAGGAGUGUCAGAUUUUGUCAAAGGAUUUUUCAAUAUCUACUGAGAUGAUCCUGUGAUUUUUUUCUUCAUUUAUAUGACAGGAACCUAGCAUCACUGUCACGUUAGAGGCUUCAUCGAGCAGCUGAUGGAAAUGGAUGCAGAGACCCACAGCCGAACAUCAGGCAGAGCUCCAGGAAUCUUGUGGAAGAGUUGGGAAUAGAAGUGAACAAGUUGGAGGGGUCAAAGACACCACAAGAAAACCUACAGAGUCAAUUAACCUGUCACUGUGGGUGCUCACCGAACCUGGGCUACCAACCAGGGAGCAUGUAGGAGCUGAACCUAGACUCCCUAUACAUUUGUAGCAAAGGUGCCGCUUGCUCCUCAAGUGGAGCUGGGCUGUUUCAGUCUCUAUUCCCUUGCCAUUGGGCCCCCCUUUCCCUGCCUGGAUUGCCCGGCUGGGCCUCAGUGGCAAAAGAUGUGCCUAGUACUUUUAGGACUAGAAGCCCCAAAAUGGGGUAGUACCCAAGGGAGCGGUGUCCGAAGAGAAGGGGAGGGGCCAAUGAGGGGAGGGAUUUGUAAGGGUGGAACUAGGAAGAGAGGAGGGAGAGAGACUGCGAUAGGGAUUUAAAGUGAAUUUAAAAAAAUCAGUUAUAGCUCAAAGAGCUCGUCCUGUAAAGGCUGCCAGCUGUGCCUCAUAAGAACAUGGUAGGGCAGGCAAGCUGCCUUGCUAUAGUCUUCACUGAAGAACGUAAUCUGUCAAAUGCCGUUGUGAAAAGUGUAUGAGUAUUUUGGUCAUAUGUUUGUGCUUUCUGGUUAUAAGU